UAGGGAAUCUUCGGCAAUGGACGAAAGUCUGACCGAGCAACGCCGCGUGAGUGAAGAAGGUUUUCGGAUCGUAAAACUCUGUUGUUAGAGAAGAACAAGGACGUUAGUAACUGAACGUCCCCUGACGGUAUCUAACCAGAAAGCCACGGCUAACUACGUGCCAGCAGCCGCGGUAAUACGUAGGUGGCAAGCGUUGUCCGGAUUUAUUGGGCGUAAAGCGAGCGCAGGCGGUUUCUUAAGUCUGAUGUGAAAGCCCCCGGCUCAACCGGGGAGGGUCAUUGGAAACUGGGAGACUUGAGUGCAGAAGAGGAGAGUGGAAUUCCAUGUGUAGCGGUGAAAUGCGUAGAUAUAUGGAGGAACACCAGUGGCGAAGGCGGCUAUCUGGUCUGUAACUGACACUGAGGCUAGAAAGCGUGGGGAGCAAACAGG
rnacentral:rRNA from 1 species